rnacentral:rRNA from 1 species
UACGGAGGGUGCAAGCGUUGUCCGGAAUCAUUGGGCGUAAAGCGCGUGUAGGCGGUUCGGUAAGUCUGCUGUGAAAGUCCAGGGCUCAACCCUGGGAUGCCGGUGGAUACUGUCGGACUAGAGUACGGAAGAGGCGAGUGGAAUUCCUGGUGUAGCGGUGAAAUGCGCAGAUAUCAGGAGGAACACCAAUGGCGAAGGCAGCUCGCUGGGACGGUGACUGACGCUGAGGCGCGAAAGCGUGGGGAGCAAACAGG